UCGGGUGAUCCACCCUUAAGGAACUCGACCAAUUAGCCCCGUAACUUCGGAAGAAGGGGUACUCCUGAUGGUGAAAGACUUGCUCUGUAAGCUUUUGGGAGUGGCACUAAAGUGGCUCAGGCGACUGUUUACUAAAAACAUAGGUCUCUGCAAAGUCGUAAGACGACGUAUAGGGACUGACGCCUGCCCAAUGCCGGAAGGUUAAGGGGAGAGGUUAGACUUCGGUCGAAGCUUUGAACUGAAGCCCCGGUUAAUGGCGGCCGUAACUAUAACGGUCCUAAGGUAGCGAAAUUCCUUGUCGGGUAAGUUCCGACCUGCACGAAUGGCGUAACGAUCUGAGCAUUGUCUCGAGGGUGGGCCCGGUGAAGUUGUAAUACCAGUGAAGAUGCUGGUUACCCGCAAAAGGACGGAAAGACCCCGUGCACCUUUACUACAGCUUGAUAUUGGGUUUAGUUAUUGCUUGUAUAGGAUAGGUGGGAGACAUUGAAACUGGGACGCUAGUCUCGGUGGAGUCACCCUUGGAAUACCACCCUGGUAAUGAUUGAAUUCUAACUCUGGACCCGUGAAUCCGGGCAGAGGACAGUGUCUGGUGGGUAGUUUGACUGGGGCGGUCGCCUCCCAAAAAGUAACGGAGGCGCCCCAAGGUUCCCUCAGCAUGUUUGGAAAUCAUGCGUAGAGUACAAAGGCAUAAGGGAGCUUGACUGCGAGACAAACAAGUCGAGCAGGUACGAAAGUAGGGCUUAGUGAUCCAGCGGUUCCGUAUGGAAGGGCCGUUGCUCAUCGGAUAAAAGGUACGCCGGGGAUAACAGGCUGAUAACCCCCAAGAGUUCAUAUCGACGGGGUUGUUUGGCACCUCGAUGUCGGCUCGUCACAUCCUGGGGCUGAAGCAGGUCCCAAGGGUUCGUCUGUUCGCCGAUUAAAGUGGCACGCGAGCUGGGUUUAAAACGUCGUGAGACAGUUUGGUCCCUAUCCUUUGCGGGCGCAGGAAAUUUGAGGGUAGUCGUCCCUAGUACGAGAGGACCGGGAUGAACAGACCCAUGGUGAUCCGGUUGUCACGCCAGUGGCACCGCCGGGUAGCUAUGUCUGGAAGAGAUAAGCGCUGAAAGCAUCUAAGCACGAAGCUCCACCCAAGAUAAGAUUUCCCUGGGAGCAAUCCCCUGUAGUGCCCUUGUAGACCACAAGGUUGAUAGGCUGGAAGUGUAAGCACGGCGACGUGUUCAGCGGACCAGUACUAAUCGCUCGUGAGGCUUGGUCC
rnacentral:rRNA from 1 species